CUAGCAUAUCAAUAAGCGGAGGAAAAGAAACCAACAGGGAUUGCCCUAGUAACGGCGAGUGAAGCGGCAACAGCUCAAAUUUGAAAUCUGGCUCUUUUAGAGUCCGAGUUGUAAUUUGCAGAGGGCGCUUUGGUGUCGGCAGCGGUCCAAGUUCUUUGGAACAGGACGUCACAGAGGGUGAGAAUCCCGUACGUGGUCGCUAGCCUUCACCGUGUAAAGCCCCUUCGACGAGUCGAGUUGUUUGGGAAUGCAGCUCUAAAUGGGAGGUAAAUUUCUUCUAAAGCUAAAUACUGGCCAGAGACCGAUAGCGCACAAGUAGAGUGAUCGAAAGAUGAAAAGCACUUUGGAAAGAGAGUCAAAUAGCACGUGAAAUUGUUGAAAGGGAAGCGCUUGCAGCCAGACUUGCCUGUAGUUGCUUAUCCGGACUUUUGUCCGGUGCACUCUUCUGCGGGCAGGCCAGCAUCAGUUUGGGCGGUUGGAUAAAGGUCUCUGUCAUGUACCUCUCUUCGGGGAGGCCUUAUAGGGGAGACGACAUGCAACCAGCCUGGACUGAGGUCCGCGCAUCUGCUAGGAUGCUGGCGUAAUGGCUGUAAGCGGCCCGUCUUGAAACACGGACCAAGGAGUCUAACAUCUAUGCGAGUGUUUGGGUGUCAAGCCCAGACGCGUAAUGAAAGUGAACGGAGGUGGGAACCCUUUGGGUGCACCAUCGACCGAUCCUGAUGUCUUCGGAUGGAUUUGAGUAAGAGCAUGGCUGUUGGGACCCGAAAGAUGGUGAACUAUGCUUGAAUAGGGUGAAGCCAGAGGAAACUCUGGUGGAGGCUCGCAGCGGUUCUGACGUGCAAAUCGAUCGUCAAAUUUGGGCAUAGGGGCGAAAGACUAAUCGAACUAUCUAGUAGCUGGUUCCUGCCAAAU
rnacentral:rRNA from 1 species